CGCAAGUCUGAACCAGCCAUGCCGCGUGAAGGAUGAAGGUCCUCUGGAUUGUAAAGUCCUUUCGGCGGGGACGAUGAUGACGGUACCCGCAGAAGAAGCCCCGGCUAACUUCGUGCCAGCAGCCGCGGUAAUACGAAGGGGGCUAGCGUUACUCGGAAUGCCUGGGCGUAAAGGGCGCGUAGGCGGUUUGGACAGUUAGGCGUGAAAUUCCUGGGCUCAACCUGGGGGCUGCGCUUAAUACAUCCAGACUUGAGUGUGGAAGAGGGUCGUGGAAUUCCCAGUGUAGAGGUGAAAUUCGUAGAUAUUGGGAAGAACACCGGUGGCGAAGGCGGCGACCUGGUCCAUUACUGACGCUGAGGCGCGAAAGCGUGGGGAGCAAACA
rnacentral:rRNA from 1 species